rnacentral:rRNA from 1 species
AACGAACGCUGGCGGCAGGCUUAACACAUGCAAGUCGAGCGCCCCGCAAGGGGAGCGGCCGACGGGUGAGUAACGCGUGGGAACGUACCUUUUGGUUCGGAACAACUCCGGGAAACUGGAGCUAAUACCGGAUAAGCCCUAACGGGGAAAGAUUUAUCGCCGAAAGAUCGGCCCGCGUCUGAUUAGCUAGUUGGUGAGGUAACGGCUCACCAAGGCGACGAUCAGUAGCUGGUCUGAGAGGAUGAUCAGCCACACUGGGACUGGGACACGGCCCAGACUCCUACGGGAGGCAGCAGUGGGGAAUAUUGGACAAUGGGCGCAAGCCUGAUCCAGCCAUGCCGCGUGAGUGAUGAAGGCCUUAGGGUUGUAAAGCUCUUUUGUCCGGGAAGAUAAUGACUGUACCGGAAGAAUAAGCCCCGGCUAACUUCGUG